rnacentral:tRNA from 1 species
GCACCCGUAGUUCAAUGGAUAGAAUGAAGGAUUCCGGUUCCUUUGAUGCAGGUUCGACUCCUGCCGGGUGUA